GGAAUCUUGGUCAAUGGGGGAAACCCUGAACCAGCAACGCCGCGUGAGGGAUGAAGGCCCUCGGGUCGUAAACCUCUGUCGGGAGGGAAGAAAGGAUUCCGGAUUAAUACCCCGGGAUACUGACGGUACCUUCAAAGGAAGCGCCGGCUAACUCCGUGCCAGCAGCCGCGGUAAUACGGAGGGCGCGAGCGUUAUUCGGAAUCAUUGGGCGUAAAGCGCGUGCAGGCGGCUGGGAAAGUCAGAUGUGAAAGCCCGGGGCUCAACCCCGGAAUUGCAUUUGAAACUACCUGGCUAGAGUCUCGGAGAGGAGGGCGGAAUUCCCGGUGUAGAGGUGAAAUUCGUAGAUAUCGGGAGGAACACCAGUGGCGAAGGCGGCCCUCUGGACGAUGACUGACGCUGAGACGCGAAAGCGUGGGGAGCAAAC
rnacentral:rRNA from 1 species